CCCUUAGAUGUUCUGGGCCGCACGCGCGCUACACUGAUGCAUUCAACGAGUUUCUUCCUGGUCCGAGAGGAAUGGGUAAUCUUUUGAAUGUGCAUCGUGAUUGGGAUAGAUGAUUGCAAUUUUUCAUCUUCAACGAGGAAUGCCUAGUAAACGCAAGUCAUCAGCUUGCAUUGAUUACGUCCCUGCCCUUUGUACACACCGCCCGUCGCUCCUACCGAUUGAAUGAUCCGAUGAAUAUCAUGGAUUGAGGAUGCAAGUAGGUUCGCCUAUCUUCAUCUUCGAGAAGUGAAGUAAAUCUUAUCAUUUAGAGGAAGGAGAAGUCGUAACA
rnacentral:rRNA from 1 species